rnacentral:lncRNA from 1 species
ACCUGGAAUGCCCAAAACAUGGGUUGUUGUACUGAGCAACUCGCCACAACGUGCCAUGAACUCGCCAGGCGAGCUGCAGCAAAACAGGAAGCCCAACUUUUGGGUUUCCUCUUAGGAACCCAUCAAAUUUCACUCCAAAAACCCUAAUUUUGAUCCCCUUUGAUCCAAAUUCGUCCCUAACAUACAUCAAAAGGCAAUCAAAACACUUGCAAACAUGGAAUCAUGACAUCAAUUCUCAGCAAAAUCAUCUAGUUCAUUUUUCACCAGAAACUCAUAUUUUCUCAUUUUCAUUCAAACUUCACAAACCAGCACACCAAUUCAAACCCCAACAACAUACAAGCAUAUAUAAUCAUUUAUGAAGUGAAUUUGAACAUGUUCCAACAAUAAUCACUCAUCAAUUCAUGGAUUACACUUAAUUGAACAAAAAUCACCAAAACAACUUAUCACCAACAACAACUAUGAACUUGAACAUAUAAACACAUCAAUUUCAUGAAGUUUAACAUAUCCAUUAUAACACAUAAAUUAAGAGCACGAAAUUCAUCAUCAAAAAUCACAAAAGUCAUAAUUAAUACAAAAGCACUUAUGACCCAUAAUUGAAAAGAUGAGAUUAUAGCUUAAUUGAGUGAAAGGAUCUAUCCCCCUUACCUAUAGGUUUUCAAUCCACUAGCUUAAGCUUCAAUCUCCCCUCUAGCUCUCAAACCCCUAACUUUUCUCUAACUUCCUCUUCUUUCCUCUUCUCCAAAUUUGUGAUCUACUUUCUCUCUAUACCUCUUAAGUUUGUGAAAUGAAAUGAAU